AGAAAGACUGCAAGAACUGCUAACUCAUGCCCCCAUAUAUAAAAAUAUGGCUUUCUUAC
rnacentral:tRNA from 1 species